rnacentral:tRNA from 1 species
ACAGAUAUAAGUACACUCAUACCUUUUAGGUCUUCAAAACAAAAAUUUUAAUCUGUA